rnacentral:rRNA from 1 species
UACGUAGGGUGCAAGCGUUAAUCGGAAUUACUGGGCGUAAAGCGUGCGCAGGCGGUUCGCUAAGACAGAUGUGAAAUCCCCCGGCUCAACCGGGGAACUGCUGGGUAUACUGGGCGUCUUGGGCCAACUAGGGGCUGCCGGAACAAAUGGUGGAGCGGUGAAAUGCGUAGAUAUCAUUUGGAACGCCAAGGGCGAAAGCAGGCAGCUGGGGUUGUGCCGACGCUGAGACACGAAAGCCAGGGGAGCGAACGGG